UGCAGCAGGCGCGAAACCUUUACACUGCACGCAAGUGCGAUAGGGGGACACCGAGUGCGAGGGCAUAGAGCCCUCGCUUUUGUGCAUCGUAAGGUGGUACACGAAUAAGGGCUGGGCAAGACCGGUGCCAGCCGCCGCGGUAACACCGGCAGCCCGAGUGAUGGCCGCUUUUAUUGGGCCUAAAGCGUCCGUAGCCGGCCGUUCAGGUCCGUCGGGAAAUCCACUGGCUCAACCAGUGGGCGUCCGGCGGAAACCGAUCGGCUUGGGACAGGGAGACCAGAGGGGUACGUCCGGGGUAGGAGUGAAAUCCUGUAAUCCUGGACGGACCACCGGUGGCGAAAGCGCCUCUGGAGAACUGAUCCGACGGUGAGGGACGAAAGCUGGGGUCUCGAACCGGAUUAGAUACCCGGGUAGUCCCAGCUGUAAACAAU
rnacentral:rRNA from 1 species